GUGUUUGGAGCCUCCUGCUCCCUGUGUGAACCCUGGGGAGGAAGCAGCAGCCACGCGGCUGUGGCAGAGGCCCCUGCACAGUCAGGGCUGCCUCCAGGGAGUCUCCGCCCACACUGGCCACGGACAGAUCUCUGAGAUCCCAGAUGGACUCCGGGAAAGGGGUGCCCCUCACGGCAUGGGAAUGGAACACUGUCCUGAAGGCAAGCACAGCGAACCCCCAAAGAGCUGCCCUGUACCUAUGCCAUGGAGAUGCUCCUCAGAAAGACACUAGGUCUCUGCAGACAGCGGCUGUGGACCCUGGGAAAGGACUGGGCAUCUGGGAACCGUGUAUCAUGUUUGCCUGGGGCUUCAGCUCCUCCUUGGUACGUGUCUGACAACAUCUGUGGAAAGCUCAGCCGUAGGAGACGGAUCAAACGCCCAGACUUGGAGACCUGGCCAGGCUGUGUCCUCCCCAGAACAAUGUCCUAAGCCCUAGCCUCAUACAGAUGGAGCCAGACCACGGUCCAGGGGGUUCUUUCCCUCCCACCUGGGGGACAGGCCAUCAGCCCCACAUUGCCUGCGGUUCCUGUUCGUGGAGAGAUUUUACAUCGAGUGCUUUUCAUUCAGAAUUGUAAGCUUUAAUAUGUUUUACAGGAAGCCCUUUUA